rnacentral:rRNA from 1 species
UACGUAGGCAGCGAGCGUUGUUCGGAAUUACUGGGCGUAAAGAGUGUGUAGGCGGUGCUCUAAGUUCGGUGUGAAAUCUCCUGGCUCAACUGGGAGGGUGCGCCGGAAACUGGAGUGCUUGAGCGUGGGAGAGGAAAGCGGAAUUCCUGGUGUAGCGGUGAAAUGCGUAGAUAUCGGGAGGAACACCAGUGGCGAAGGCGAUCACCUGGGGUUGUUCUGACGCUGAGGAGCGAAAGCUAGGGGAGCAAACGGG